AUUGAACGCUGGCGGCAUGCUUUACACAUGCAAGUCGAACGGUAACAGGCCGCAAGGUGCUGACGAGUGGCGAACGGGUGAGUAAUGCAUCGGAACGUGCCCAGUCGUGGGGGAUAACUACUCGAAAGAGUAGCUAAUACCGCACACGAUCUAUGGAUGAAAGCGGGGGACCGUAAGGCCUCGCGCGAUUGGAGCGGCCGAUGUCAGAUUAGGUAGUUGGUGGGGUAUAGGCUCACCAAGCCAACGAUCUGUAGCUGGUCUGAGAGGACAACCAGCCACACUGGGACUGAGACACGGCCCAGACUCCUACGGGAGGCGGCGGAGGGGAAAUUUGGACAAGGGGCGCAAGCCUAAUCCAGCAAUGCCGCGUGGAGGAAGAAGGCCUUCGGGUUUUAAACUGCUUUUGUACGGAACGAAACGGCUCUGGUUAAUACCCGGGGCUAAUGACGGUACCGUAAGAAUAAGCACCGGCUAACUACGUG
rnacentral:rRNA from 1 species